UUGGCUGCUCUGUGCUGUUGCUGUCUCUUGGAUGCAUGCUUUUGAUGCUGUAAAUGAUCUGUGCCAUGUGUUGGUGGCAAAAGUUUAUUAAACCAAUUCUAUCAUAGUCUAGACUUUCUCUUUUUGUGUUUGUCUUUGGUGUCCUGUACUGUCCUUGAUAAAUAAUUUGAUAUUAAAUAUGACGAUGCACCUUGUUAUGGUGGGAGAAUUCAAGUGUCUAUUUGCCAAUUUAUACAUUAUUGUGCAAUGCAAG
rnacentral:misc_RNA from 1 species